GCAGUCGAGCGGUAGAGAGAAGCUUGCUUCUCUUGAGAGCGGCGGACGGGUGAGUAAUGCCUAGGAAUCUGCCUGGUAGUGGGGGAUAACGUUCGGAAACGGACGCUAAUACCGCAUACGUCCUACGGGAGAAAGCAGGGGACCUUCGGGCCUUGCGCUAUCAGAUGAGCCUAGGUCGGAUUAGCUAGUUGGUGGGGUAAUGGCUCACCAAGGCGACGAUCCGUAACUGGUCUGAGAGGAUGAUCAGUCACACUGGAACUGAGACACGGUCCAGACUCCUACGGGAGGCAGCAGUGGGGAAUAUUGGACAAUGGGCGAAAGCCUGAUCCAGCCAUGCCGCGUGUGUGAAGAAGGUCUUCGGAUUGUAAAGCACUUUAAGUUGGGAGGAAGGGCAGUAAAUUAAUACUUUGCUGUUUUGACGUUACCGACAGAAUAAGCACCGGCUAACUCUGUGCCAGCAGCCGCGGUAAUACAGAGGGUGCAAGCGUUAAUCGGAAUUACUGGGCGUAAAGCGCGCGUAGGUGGUUAGUUAAGUUGGAUGUGAAAUCCCCGGGCUCAACCUGGGAACUGCAUUCAAAACUGACUGACUAGAGUAUGGUA
rnacentral:rRNA from 1 species